GCUCGAGGUGUGGAGAGGGCACGGCUGGCUGAGAAGGCUGCGGGCGGAGGGGCACGAAGUCCCGUGGAGCGCGAGAAGUUUGCCCUCUCGGAGCUUCGCUGUCGGCAGUGCACCUCUGCUCUGCCGCCGGCCCCGCUGCGACCGGUCGCCGCUCCCCCCGCCCUCCCUCGCACGGCUCCGGCCGCCCUUCUCCCGGCUCCCGUGUCCGUGUCCCGCACGCCUGCUCCGAGUUUCUAGGCAUGUUGGAAAAAGUGUGCGGCCUGGCUGAUUUGAGAGUGGCCUUCCUUUCCUGAAGAGUGCUUGGUAAACAGAAGCAGCUCAGGUUUACUGGAACUGCUGUUGAAGUCUCUUGUGUCC
rnacentral:lncRNA from 14 species